rnacentral:rRNA from 1 species
CCCUUAGAUGUUCUGGGCCGCACACGCGCUACACUGAAGGAGGCAGCGUGUACUCCUGGAUCGAAAGAUUUGGGUAACCCGCGAAUCUCCUUCGUGCUAGGGAUUGAGGUUUGCAAUUAUCCUUCAUGAACGAGGAAUUCCCAGUAAGUGCAAGUCAUAAGCUUGCGCUGACUACGUCCCUGCCCUUUGUACACACCGCCCGUCGCUACUACCGAUUGAAUGAUUUAGUGAGGACUUCGGACUGGGACCGAUGCGGCUUUCGGGCUGCGUCGGUAUUCUGGAAAGAUGUCCAAACUUUAUCAUUUAGAGGAAGUAAAAGUCGUAACA